ACGAAUUUGAUUACAUAACGAUAAAAGAAUCAAGGAAGCAAUAUUUUAAGAAGGACACGACUUUAGGAGAUUAUCAGUAAAAUAGACAGGCAAGAAACGCUGACUUAAAUGAUAGCCGGGAUUCGUUUGGUUUCAACUCCAUCGAAGAAAAGGUUGGGUUUCUUAUGAGAUUCUCCUUCACCGCAGAUCUUGAAGACUUUCUUCGCAAUCUAGGAAAGCAACAUAAAUUCUUCAAGUGCAUAAAUGGGUUUGAGAAGUUUCAAGAAUUGGGCAGCAAACAAAUAUCUUAAAGCACCCUGGUUCACCAGACCGUUAGUGGGGUAUACCUUAAGAACAAGACAGUCAAUACAGCCAGGACAAUCAAAAUGGAAAUUCC